rnacentral:rRNA from 1 species
AGAGUUUGAUCCUGGUUCUAGAUGUUUCCUGGCGGCGUGCCUAACACAUGCAAGUCGAGCGAGAAGGUUAUGAUGGAUUCUUCGGAUGACAGAUUGACUGGAAAGCGGCGGACGGGUGCGUAACGCGUGAGUAACCUGCCCCAUACACAGGGAUAGCCAUUGGAAACGAUGAUUAAUACCUGAUAACACAUAUUUACCACAUGGUAGAAAUGUCAAAGAUUUAUCGGUAUGGGAUGGACUCGCGUCUGAUUAGCUAGUUGGUAAGGUAACGGCUUACCAAGGCGACGAUCAGUAGCCGACCUGAGAGGGUGAUCGGCCACACUGGAACUGAGACACGGUCCAGACUCCUACGGGAGGCAGCAGUGGGGAAUAUUGCACAAUGGGCGCAAGCCUGAUGCAGCAACGCCGCGUGAACGAAGAAGGCCUUCGGGUCGUAAAGUUCUUUUCUUAGGGAAGAAAAAUGACGGUACCUAAGGAAUAAGCACCGGCUAAAUACGUGCCAGCAGCCGCGGUAAUACGUAUGGUGCAAGCGUUAUCCGGAAUCACUGGGCGUAAAGGGUACGUAGGCGGUUUUGCAAGUCAGAAGUGAAAGGCUACGGCUCAACCGCAGUAAGCUUUUGAAACUGCAAGACUAGAGUGCAGGAGAGGUAAGUGGAAUUCCUAGUGUAGAGGUGAAAUUCGUAGAUAUUAGGAGGAACACC